GAUGAACGCUGGCGGCGUGCCUAAUACAUGCAAGUCGAGCGAACAGACGAGGAGCUUGCUCCUCUGACGUUAGCGGCGGACGGGUGAGUAACACGUGGAUAACCUACCUAUAAGACUGGGAUAACUUCGGGAAACCGGAGCUAAUACCGGAUAAUAUAUUGAACCGCAUGGUUCAAUAGUGAAAGACGGUUUUGCUGUCACUUAUAGAUGGAUCCGCGCCGCAUUAGCUAGUUGGUAAGGUAACGGCUUACCAAGGCAACGAUGCGUAGCCGACCUGAGAGGGUGAUCGGCCCCACUGGAACUUAGCCACGGUCCAGACUCCUACGGGAGGCAGCAGUAGGGAAUCUUCCGCAAUGGGCGAAAGCCUGACGGAGCGACGCCGCGUGAGUGAUGAAGGUCUUCGGAUCGUAAAACUCUGUUAUUAGGGAAGAACAAAUGUGUAAGUAACUAUGCACGUCUUGACGGUACCUAAUCAGAAAGCCACGGCUAACUACGUG
rnacentral:rRNA from 1 species